GCUCUGCUGCGGGGUGGUGCCCAGCGCCGGGUUCGUGCGCUGAACCGGGAGGCCGGGGAGGCAAAGCUGCCCCUGCUGCUGCAGCCACCCGUGGAGCUGCCUGUGUGCUCCGCAGCUCGAUCGAAGGGACUUUUUAACCUUCCCUCUGGCAAAGUAGGCUUAUACUGAGAGCUCUCUCUCUCUCUCUUUUUUUUUUUUUUUUUUUCCACUUCCAGAUCAUUUACUUCUUGUAUAUGCUUUCCCUUCCAACUCUUGGAUUAUUUUGCAAAAUCUACAGCUGGGUGUCACAUUCCGAUCAUGGUGUCAUUGCUUCUCAGCACGCAGACAACACCGCUUGCUUUUACAUCACUUUUCUUUGCUGCUACAUUCCAGUAUUAUUACAUUUCAGUAUGCCACACCCAUUGGAUCCCACUGAGACUGACUGGAUAAAGAAGUAGAGAGGAGAAAAAGAGACAGUUGGGGUUCUGUCGGUUGGUUGAUUUUUUUUUUUUUUGUGUGUGUGUGUUUUUUUGCUUGUUUUCAACAGGAUUUACCAAGAACUUGUUCACACCAUUUUACUAUUGGAAAGCAGCUUGUAGUUUUGUAGUAAAGGCUAUUUUCACCAAAGAAAUAAAAUGUUUUUGGAUGU